AGAGUAGGCAGAGAAAGGGAGGAGGACGGGAAGUCUGAUAAUCGCUAGUGUCAAAAAGGCCCGCGCCGGCUCGGCCCGUUUCGACCCUAAAAUUUAGGGAAUUUUAGGGUGGGGCCAAACUUUUUAUCCUCCCCCGUCAUUUUCAUCGUCAUCAUCUCCGUCAUCUCCCUCGUGGAAUCCCCUUUACGAAACCAGAGCCGCGAUUGGCCCCGCGCCACGACGAUCGCCUCGAGCGGAAAGGUCGAAGCUUCGUCACCCGGAUCUCCAUUCCCCCGUUUCUUGAAGAUCGGCAUGGCGACACCGGAUGUCCUGCAGAGCCCAGAUGAGCUCCUCCUGCAAUCUCCCAUCGGCGACGCUCCUCGCGCGGGUGAGGCCCCUCUGAGCUUCGCGUGGAUCUUUCUUGUGUCGGAUCCGUUCGAGAUGUGGGAAGACUCGGCUCUUUAGAAAGUCAUUUUGCCGAUGGUUGUCUCUCUUUGUUCUGUUUGAUAUCCUCACCAGGCGAGAAUCCCAAGUCUCGGGGGCUGUCGAUCGACAAGAAGAUUGAGUUCCUGGAGAGUUUGACUGGAGCGGUGAGUGAGUACAUUGAGUGAUGAGUGGAGGCAGAAUUCGAGCGUGAAUGUGCAGUUUUUGGGCGUCUUCAUUGUUUGUUUGUCGAUUGGGAUCUGUUGUGUUUCGAGACUAGUUGGCAAGUUCACGUUCCCGUUCUUGAUCAAGUCGUGUGCAGGGUUGGCGGGCGAAGAUGUGGGUAUGCAAGUGCAUGCCCAUGUGUGUAAAUUCGGGCCUGCAGGGCACCUGGUGACGGAGAAUUUGUUGAUAGACAUGUAUGCAAAGUUCGGGGAUUCGGAAGAUGCAUAUAAGGUGUUUGACGAUAUGCCUCAAAGGGAUGCCAUCUCAUGGAAUAGUCUCAUUUCCGGGCAUGUUAGGUUGGGAGAGAUGACGAGGGUGAGAGAAUUGUUUGGUGUGAUGCUGUGCAAGACUGUCGUCCAACAGUGAUUUCCAGGUACUCUCAAGUCGGCAGUUAUGUCAAUGCCCUGGAAAUUUUUAGGCAAAUGUAGACGGUUGGUGUUGAACCUGAUGAGAUAAGUAUUGUAUCCGUCUUGCCAGCUUGUGCACACCCAGGAGCUCUCAAAGUUGGGAAGUGGAUUCACAUGCAUGCAGAUUAGCACCAGCUUCGCCACAGGCUUCUCCACACCUAUGUGCACACUGGACUUGUAUAUGCCAAAUGCGGUUGCAUCGAGCAAGCGAGCCUUUUGUUCAAUGAGAAGAACAAGAGGGAUGUUAUUUCUCGGAGCACAAUGAUUUGCAGUUUAGCCAAUCACGAAAAGUUGAGUGGGAGCCCAAAAAAGAAAAAAAAAACCAAAAAACCCAAAAGACUCGACCUGCCCCUUGUUUCGUCUUUUGAUCAGCAUGAAAUGGUAAAUGGUGCCGUUCAAACUUGUAAGGAGAGUUUCCAUAUAUUUGAUAAGUAUCUCAACUUCUUUAAUUCAAUCAUCUUUGAGAAUUUUGAUCCCGGUGCUUGUGGUCAGGCAUAUGGUAUGAAAAUGUUUGACCUCAAAGAGUGGAAGAAGAGAAACAUCAUGGGAAUAUAUCACCGAUGGCAAGAAAUGAACGAGGAUAGGACAUUGUAUAUGCUUGGCAUCUUAUUCCCAGGGUUGGUCACUUUCUACAGCCUGACUUGUUCGGAGGUGGCAUGUGUUGAGACUCGGCUAUGAUCCAGCACUCAUCUGGAUAGAAAUGGAGAAUGCAGCAAUCAUUCAUUACAAUGGAAACUGUAAACCAUGGUUGGAUUUGGCAGUCUCCAACUAUUUUGUCAAUCUACGAUCAGUCUCGAAGAGGAACAAUGCAGCUGAGAAUGCAUAACAAACCAAUCGAAGAGGAGGAACUUUGCAAUGCAAUUACAUUCAACCCGGCAUUCCUGAGAAUUGCCGACACAGUCUAACAGUCCACUUUAAUGAAGCGAAGUGAGCAUGAAUUGAAAUCACUGAGCCUUCCAUGAUUAAUUCCUUUGUCAAAGCGUCUUUGAAGCUAUCGAAUAAACAAGGGAAGUCCAUCCAUGCUUGUGUGCUCAAGCAGGUUCUCGACACAUUCUGUUCCAUCGGCAAUUCCAUCAUGGAUUUGUACAUGAAGUGCAGGGACUUGGAAAUUUUAAUGAGGCAAAGCAUUCAAGGAACAAUAUCCUCAAAUGUGGAAUAGGGAGUACUCCUCUCCUUUCAAAGCAAGUUCUUCAAGAUAACCUUAAAAGAAACACAUCGAAUGAUCCAUAUUGAAAUUUUUUAAGCUCCUUGUCGCUUAAAUGUCUCUUUGAGAAGGGCAUUUGAAAAGAGCAAGAAUUGAACUUCGUGGAUUAUCAUAUGCAGUAAAGAAAUGUUUUUCAUAAAUAAAAUCAAGGCCAUGGAGGCGUUUUUCAAGCAAUCCUGUCACUUAAGGUGAUUUAUGUCAUGCAUAUCACGCAUAUAUCCUUCAUGAUAGUUUCCUAACAUGCUUCGUUGUCAUUCUUGAUAGGAAAUGUCAAUACCUGAAGAACAAAAACAUGUGAAGGGUAAAUUGUAUCGAUUUCAAUUGCUCAUUUUGAUACCGUUUCUGAAGUGAUUCUCUUUUCCUUUGAUUGAGAAAAGAUCGAACACUCGUAAGAGGUGUGGUACUAUUCUGAUUAGUGGUUCUUUUAAUGGUUACUGACGAUUAGAACACAAGCUCGUAGGAUCUUUUUGUAGGAAAUUACAAUGAUAGUAGGUGUUCCAAUUGAAAAGGCUAGCACAAAUCGAGAGAGGAAAACAAAUUCGUCGUAUUUGAGCUGUUCGCAAGAGUCUUGACUGUAUAAAAUGCCGGCUUUUGGAAGGUAUAAAUGUUUAAGAGGUCAGCGCAGUGGUACUAGACAUGCUAGCUGGUUGUUAGAUUUGCUGGGUAAGGGUAUUGAGUCUGCUUUGGUGUAUCCUUCAGCAUUAGUAGCUGAGCCAUGGCAGUUAUCUAGUGAAAUGUUCUCUGGAAUUGAUCCGGAAGCUCGGGCUGCUGAACUGGCACUUAUCCCAAGUAUACAGGUACUUUCACCUUCAUUUUGAAUUUUCUCCUUGUUGUCACAUUGAAAUUUGAAAUGCAGAUCUUCUGGCUGUGUUUUUGCCAUGGCUUGAGGCCAUUA